UCCCCGAUGGCUAGUGGACCCCACCGGUGCUGGGGCUCCGUUUGCUCUGGAAAGGAGGCGGAAGUGACGCAGGACAGAGUCGUUUUAUCAACGCUCUGCAGGCUCCCACCCGGAUUUGCUCUUUUCCCAGGAACUCCUCUGCUCACAUGUGGAAAUGCCCGUCCGCACACACGGACGAGAGCACACAGGGGGAGUUCCUAUGUAAGUACACUUGUCGGAGUGCUCUUUUAACCGAAGGGGUGCUUCUGCUCUGAGGGCACGUACCUCUAGCUUGUCUGGCAGCAGCAGGAAGAGACAUGGGAGUCUCUGGCCCAGGACAAAUCUUUCUUCAUAAAAAUCAUUGUUCUGUACCGGUUCCUCUGAAUUUGCAGAACUGGGCUCAUUUGAACCCAGCGGCAGCCGCGUGGAAGCAGCCCGCCUCUGUCACGCAGAGACCUGUAGGGGCUCACGAAGCUUAGUGAUGCUUCCUGUUAGAGGCCGCUAAGACGUUCAGUGCAGCGCCUUCCAGUCUGUCUCUUCUCAUUAGGUUCCUUACACCUCCAUCAGCUGUUAGCUCAAAAUUAUUUAAAAUAACCGAAAACUGCGUCUCAUCGGACUACACCUGGAGGGCGACCGCAAGGCUGAGCACAGGACAAGCAACUCGUCUUUGAAAGUCAGUCACCUGCCUCUCCUCAGAGGACCAAGCGAAAGGAGCUGAACAUUUCAAAAAAGGCACGGCCAGCGCACGUGGAGGAAAUCGUCCUUGAGCCCGUGGUCCUCCCCACGUUCCUCUUCUCGGAGGCUCUCCUUAAGGGCCGCGCUGGCCGGGAGCUCGCUUUGCGGUGAUGGAACAGCGUUGCACCGGAACACAAAGGAUGCGCGGCCGCCGCGCUGCCAAGUCCGGUUGUUCUGUCGUCGCCAUGGACGCGCCGGCAGGGUCACCAAGGCAGCCUCUCCCCUCAGCGCCAGCCUCCGUGGAGACGCGGACGAGCAGCUGCAGAGCGGAGCCCCGGGGACCUGCGGGGACCUGCGGAGACCUGCGGAGCUGCGCGGGCCGGUCCCCCGGCGGCCCUUAGCGCUGCUCCCGGGCGUGGGCUGCGCUCCCCGAGCCGCGCGCGACGCCCGGGCCGCCCCCCCGACAGCAGCGCCCUGGGCAGGGCCGCCAGCCGCGCGGGGGAGGGCCGCGGGCUCACGGAGGAGUCCACCUGCCCCGAAUCCCGGUCGCGCCCCGCGGUCUGCAGAGCCUCCUCUCCUCAGAAAGGGUCUAGAAGGACCGCCUGCCCCCGGAGCUGCCGCGUCUGACCGCGCGCUCCGCCUUCGGGGUGCGCUGUGUUGAGUUGUGUCGUGUCGAGUUGUGUCGAGUUGUGUUGGGUGUUUUUCCUUCCUUGUCUCCCGGGCGCCGGUGAGUUCUGCCGUCCCUUGAUUUGCCUCUUUAUUUUUUAAUUGAGAAAAGCCCGAGGAUUAAAGAACUGAGAAUUUUACCUUCAAGGCUCCCGUGUCCCCGUGUUAAGCUGCGCGGGACUCUCUGUGUCCCGGUUCAGGAAACUGGCGGCCGCGGGCGGGUGUCCCAGAACUGUGCCUGCCGGUGCCAGCGCCGCAGAUCCGAGUCUCCCGCGCGCGCGCGCGCACGCCCCUAAGAAGGGACAGCGCAGGCUUAAUACAGAAGAGAAAAUAACUAAUUUACUUUGGAUUAUUUAUUCACUUACUCACUGUAUUAUUUAUUCACUUACUCAUUUAUAUAGCGUUCCUUGGUUAUUUUUGAAAACCAAGUAAUAGUAAAGGGGAAAUAAAUUAAUAUUUUUAUGUAAAAUUCAAUUUUUGCCCUUUCUUGUAUUUAGAGUUAUUAAAUGUGC